GACGAACGCUGGCGGCGUGCUUAACACAUGCAAGUCGAACGGAAAGACCCUGCUUUUGUGGGGUGCUCGAGUGGCGAACGGGUGAGUAACACGUGAGUAACCUGCCCUUGACUUUGGGAUAACUUCAGGAAACUGGGGCUAAUACCGGAUAGGAGCUCCUGCUGCAUGGUGGGGGUUGGAAAGUUUCGGCGGUUGGGGAUGGACUCGCGGCUUAUCAGCUUGUUGGUGGGGUAGUGGCUUACCAAGGCUUUGACGGGUAGCCGGCCUGAGAGGGUGACCGGCCACAUUGGGACUGAGAGACGGCCCAGACUCCUACGGGAGGCAGCAGUGGGGAAUAUUGCACAAUGGGCGGAAGCCUGAUGCAGCAACGCCGCGUGCGGGAUGACGGCCUUCGGGUUGUAAACCGCUUUCGCCUGUGACGAAGCGGGAGUGACGGUAAUGGGUAAAGAAGCACCGGCUAACUACGUG
rnacentral:rRNA from 1 species